AUCCCGGGGAAUGAAUAAGACAUGAGACGUAUUACUCACGUAAUCGUGUUAACAAAAAUAUUCUGAAAACAUCUGCUGUCGCUGAUCAGUUCUUGACUGACUGCGGUGAACAGUACUUCCCGUUCUUGCACUGCAAAACAAUCGGCGUCCUCCGGUAAAAAUUAAUUUCUCAGUCCGGGGAGACAACUGAUCACAGUCGAGGAUUUGAAUUAACAGAUAGAACCGAGAUGGGAUGGAGAGCAUUUUUAUCAGCUCCAGGUUCCACUGGCGGGUUUCAACAACUGAAUCACAGUGAUAGACAUCGGCAGGAUCAUUUGAGACCGACCGAAAGACGUUGUCGACAAAGACGCAACGCCGUGACACUAUUUACAAUGGAAGAUCUUUUAAAAUCCAACAACUUCCAAAAUCUUCUAAACAUUCGCUCGGCGAGAAGAGGGUCGAGGACAUCCGGAGAAUAGAUUUUUCUGAAAAGAAAAGACGCGAAUGUCGUACAAUUGUUACUUAGUUAUCAGUAAGCGUCAGUCAAGAGAGGUUUCGGUAGGUUCAUGAGAGCGUGUACAUUUAAAAUAUCUUGGACUGAUUUAGUCUGACAUUGAAGACCUAUUAAUCAAAAUUAGUGCUUUGUCUCACAGAAUCAAUCUUGAUUUAACAUCUUUACACUACUGGAAGCACACUAUCCUGGCCUAGAAAGUUCCAGUGAGCGCCAGGGCCUCUUGAUAAUGAGCCCCUCAUCCUCCAUCCCCUAAAAAAAAAAAGAACUGAACCAGAAGUAGCAUUGUGAUUCAUUUCGGGUAGGGUAAUGUUUCAGUUAAUUAUACUCGUGCAUUAAAAGCCUCUAUUAAUUUCUAUUUAGACAUAGCAUGGUAGAAUACACAUGUAUAACACAAGAGAAUAUAUUCUUGUCUAACAUAGCCAAAGAAAAUUGCCACAUAACCAGAAAAAAUUUCUUAUGAAUUUACUGAAGAAUUUUAUCCUAGGAGUCUAAGAGUUGUAAUGAGCAACAGCAAAGUGCACUGAAGUGAGUUAAAACGGGGAAGAAGUCAAAAGAGUGACCAAUUUGUCAGCGUGUGAGGUAAAACUGUUGUUUCAAAAAUCACAGGAAUAAAUGACCUAAAGUUUAAAGGUAAAGCCAUUAAAAAUAAAAGAAAAAUGUAAAAGUA